rnacentral:rRNA from 1 species
GACGAACGCUGGCGGCGCGCCUAACACAUGCAAGUCGAACGGAGCGCACUGUGUGAAGCCCUUCGGGGUGGAACUUUGUGUUGCUUAGUGGCGAACGGGUGAGUAACACGUGAGCAACCUACCUUUCAGUGGGGGACAACAUUUGGAAACAGAUGCUAAUACCGCAUAAGACCACAGCCGGACAUCCGGCAGCGGCCAAAGGAGCAAUUCGCUGAAAGAUGGGCUCGCGCCCGAUUAGAUAGUUGGUGAGGUAACGGCCCACCAAGUCUGCGAUCGGUAGCCGGACUGAGAGGUUGAACGGCCACAUUGGGACUGAGACACGGCCCAGACUCCUACGGGAGGCAGCAGUGGGGAAUAUUGCACAAUGGACGCAAGUCUGAUGCAGCGACGCCGCGUGAGGGAAGAAGGUUUUCGGAUUGUAAACCUCUGUCUUCGGGGACGAUAAUGACGGUACCCGAGGAGGAAGCCACGGCUAACUACGUGCCAGCAGCCGCGGUAAAAC